rnacentral:rRNA from 1 species
CGCAUCUGUGCAUGCAGCAUAUCAAUAAGCGGAGGAAAAGAAACUAACAAGGAUUCCCUUAGUAACGGCGAGUGAAGCGGGAAGAGCUCAAAUUUGAAAUCUUCAAGGUUUUACCUUGACGAAUUGUAGUUUAAAGAAGUGUUUUCUGCUGAAGUUUUGGUAAAAGUUCUUUGGAAUAGGACAUCAUAGAGGGUGAGAAUCCCGUAUUUGACCAUUAUUUUCAGCUUUGUGAUACACUUUCAAAGAGUCGGAUUGUCUGGGAAUGCAGUCCAAAAUGGGUGGUAAAUUUCAUCUAAAGCUAAAUAUUGGCGAGAGACCGAUAGCGAACAAGUACCGUGAGGGAAAGAUGAAAAGAACUUUGAAAAGAGAGUUAAACAGUACGUGAAAUUGUCAAAAGGGAAGCGUUUGACACCAGUGCUGUUUUCUCGAAAAUCAAUUAAAAAUGGCUCGAUUUUGUAUUGCUGAGACCUUAAAAGCUCACUGUACAUUUUUCGUGUCUUUUUUAAUGCACUUUUCGUUUAACAAGUCAACAUCAGUUUCUUUUGUUGUAAAAGGGUCAUUGGAAGGUGGCUUUCUUUUCGGAGAAAGUGUUUAUAGCCUUUGGCCUCUGCAAUCGGAGAGACUGAGGUCUGCAGCGUAGACUCUUCGGGGUUAGAUACAUUUGUGCUAAGUUAUAGCUUUUUAUAGACAACUUGUUGACUAUAAUUAGUCUUGUAGCUUACUCGCUUAUGCUAUUUUACCUACGCUUAGGAUGUUGAUAGUCACAGCGUGUAC